rnacentral:lncRNA from 1 species
ACUACAUUUUUGCCACACUAUGGGGACGUGAGCAGUACACUUUGUAUGGCAUCUUAUUUGUGGUGUUUGCCAUACUACUCAGUGUCACUGCCUGCAUAUCAGUGGCUUUAACAUAUUUCCAGUUAUCAAGUGAAGAUUAUCGUUGGUGGUGGAGAUCUGUUUUCAGUGCUGGAUCAACUGGUUUCUUUGUAUUCUUAUAUUCACUAUUCUACUACUACAAGCGGUCAAACAUGUCUGGGUCGCUACAAACAGUGGAGUUCUUUGGUUGGACGUUAUUAACGUGUUUCAUCUUCUUCUUAAUGCUUGGAACCGUCUCGUUUUUCGCUUCAUUGAAAUUUAUACGCUACAUUUAUGUGAACUUGAAAAUGGAUUAAGCUGCCACCCCAUCAUGGAUGAGCUCUCACUCCUUCAAUGCAGUUGUGUGCUCCAGUCCAUAUGCACUAUGCUAUAAGGUCACUUAAAAACAGAUCAUGGGGUAUAGCAGGCUGUAAAUACUGCAACAUAGAGCAUUUUGCAUGUUUUUAUAGUUUUUAUUUUCUCUUAAUGUGGCCAGGGUUCCUAUGGAUCUUAUGUUUUGUUUUUACAUUCUUAAGGCCUUGAAAAAGUCUGGAAUUUUUUUCGGACAGGUCUUAAAAUUUCAAAAUAGUGCAUGACAUGCUAUCUGACGACUUUGUCAAGGAGUUUGACUUUCCAAGCAUAGACAACUUUUCUGAAAGUGUAUAUUUUGAUGCAAAAAAUAGAUUUUAAUUUUCAAAAAUAUGAUGAAACUUGUAAGAACCCUGCAUGCACAUAGAGGUUAAUCAUACAAACAUAAAUAUAGUAAGAUUGUCAAAAAAUGUCGGGGUUUGAGUUGUCGGGUUCCAAGGUAGAUUGGUUCUGUUGUCAACACAAAUUAUGUAUCACUAACUACUCAUCAAGAUACGUAAAAAGUGUUGAGCCAUAUUUCAUUUGCUUUGCAUUGUUCAAAUGUAUAUACACAAAUAUUAUAUUCGCAAUAUGGUGUACAUAGCUGUAGUAAGAUUAACAUAGAGGUAUUAAGUAUUGCAAUGAUAUUUUGAAAAUGGAAGAUUUUGACAAUUUAGAAAUUAUGAUUUAAAAAGAUAUACUUAAGUCACAAGAUGGCAAUACUACCUGUUGAGUCAAUUGUAAACUGUGAAACGUUUUGACUAUCGUUAAUCUUCGGUCUUGAAAUUUUAUAAAUCCAAUGCAUGAAACUUGCCUCUAGAGGGCAGUAUACUUAGUUCUGUGGUUUUACUAAGAGUUAAAAUCCUGACUACUCUACAGGAUGGCGUUUUGUACUAUUUUAACCUGAAUUAUCUCAAGUACACUUUAGUCUGUUGAGAUUUAACAUAUUCAUUUGUUUUGUCUGAUUAUUUGUUCUCAAUAUACAUUGAUGUCAUUAGAGAAUUCAAUUUGUUUACACCUAUAGCAUUUACCGUACUCUGUAAUGCUGCACCUUUUUGGUGUAAAACUCACUGCACCUGGUGGUAUAGCAAUAAAAACUGCAUGUUGGCGGCCACUGGAUGAACACUUGAUCAUUGAUUAUUCAAGAGCAUUUUAGCUCCCAUUUUAUUUAUUCUUUUACUUCGCCGAGUUUCACUGAGAUAAAAUUUGUAAGAGCAGUGUGUCAUGUUCAUAACUGUCUGUAUCGUCACUUGGACUAACAAACAAUUCGUGUAUAUGAUCAAUGACAGUCACUAUAAAUAUUUUUACAAUUUUUGCUUUUGAUGAUUAUACAAUAUUAUCAGUUCAUUUGAUUAUUCACAGUGAUGAACCAAGUAUAUUUAUGUUAUCUAUUGUAUGAGGUUACUGUCAAUUUUUGAGGUGCAUGAAAAUAUGGGUGUGGAUCAUUAGAUGCACUACUUGUACUACUUGUAAGCAUUGGGAAAUAAUAAAUUAAUUGUAUUUCACAAUUUAGUUGAAACUGUGAUAGUGAGCCCUCUAGAGGGGAGUUUUAUAAAACCUAAUACCAAAGGAAUAAAAUGUCUACUACUAGUUGAACAAA